rnacentral:rRNA from 1 species
UACAGAGGUGGCAAGCGUUGUUCGGAAUUACUGGGCGUAAAGGGCGCGUAGGCGGCCAUCUAAGUCAGACGUGAAAUCCCCCGGCUUAACCGGGGAACUGCGUCUGAUACUGGAUGGCUUGAGGUUGGGAGAGGGAUGCGGAAUUCCAGGUGUAGCGGUGAAAUGCGUAGAUAUCUGGAGGAACACCGGUGGCGAAGGCGGCAUCCUGGACCAAUUCUGACGCUGAGGAGCGAAAGCCAGGGGAGCAAACGGG